rnacentral:rRNA from 1 species
ACACUCCUACGGGAGGCAGCAGUGGGGAAUUUUGGACAAUGGGCGAAAGCCUGAUCCAGCAAUGCCGCGUGCAGGAUGAAGGCCUUCGGGUUGUAAACUGCUUUUGUACGGAACGAAAAAGCUCCUUCUAAUACAGGGGGCCCAUGACGGUACCGUAAGAAUAAGCACCGGCUAACUACGUGCCAGCAGCCGCGGUAAUACGUAGGGUGCGAGCGUUAAUCGGAAUUACUGGGCGUAAAGCGUGCGCAGGCGGUUAUGUAAGACAGAUGUGAAAUCCCCGGGCUCAACCUGGGAACUGCAUUUGUGACUGCAUGGCUAGAGUACGGUAGAGGGGGAUGGAAUUCCGCGUGUAGCAGUGAAAUGCGUAGAUAUGCGGAGGAACACCGAUGGCGAAGGCAAUCCCCUGGACCUGUACUGACGCUCAUGCACGAAAGCGUGGGGAGCAAACAGGAUUAGAUACCCGUGUAGUCCCA